CCCUUAGAUGUCCUGGGCCGCACGCGCGCUACACUGAUGCAUUCAACGAGUUUUUCCUUGGCCGAGAGGCCUGGGCAAUCUUUUGAACGUGCAUCGUGAUAGGGAUAGAUUAUUGCAAUUAUUAAUCUUGAACGAGGAAUUCCUAGUAAACGCAGAUCAUCAAUCUGCAUUGAUUACGUCCCUGCCCUUUGUACACACCGCCCGUCGCACCUACCGAUUGAAUGGUCCGGUGAAGCCUCGGGAUUGUGGCGAGUUCCCUUUAUUGGGAGUUUGUCGUGAGAACUUGUCUAAACCUUAUCAUUUAGAGGAAGGUGAAGUCGUAACA
rnacentral:rRNA from 1 species